AUGCAGGUGCGCGUCGCCGGCGACCUCCGCGCACCGGAUGACCUGGCCGCGUUCCGGGGCAGCCACGAUUGGAUCAACUUCGCCAGCAUCGACGGGCUGCUCGUCACGGGCGGCGGCACGUUCGACGGCCGCGGCGCGUCGUCGUGGCACCUCAACCAGUGCCCAACGAAUCCGAACUGCAAGCCCCUCCCCGUCUCCAUAAAACUCGGGCGCGUGAGGAACGUGACCGUCACGGGGGUGACAUCGCUGGACAGCAAGUUCUUCCACGUGAUCAUCAUCGGCAGCCAGGACGUGUCCAUCCAUGGCGUCACCAUCCGGGCGCCGCGGGACAGCCCCAACACGGACGGUGUCCACAUCCAGGGCUCCUCCAACGUGCGCAUCACCGACACGGCCAUCGCCACGGGGGACGACUGCAUCUCCGUCGGCCCGGGGAGCGCCGACAUCACCGUGUCCGGGGUGUCCUGCGGACCCGGCCACGGCAUCAGCGUGGGCAGCCUCGGGAGGCACCCAGGCGAGGAGGACGUGCGCGGGCUGCGCGUGUCCAACUGCACCCUCGCCGGCACCGCCAACGGCGUACGCAUCAAGACUUGGCGCGGCGGGCUCCGUCCGGGCUCCGUCGUGUCCGGUCUCGUCUUCGAGGACAUCGUCAUGAGGAAGGUCCGGAACCCCAUCAUCAUCGAUCAGGAGUACUGCCCCUACAGCUCCAGCUCCUGCCGCCAUGAAUCGGCGCAGCGGCCGUCCGUGGUGAAGAUAAGCGAUGUAAAGUUCAAGAACAUCAGGGGCGUGUCGGCGACCCAGGUCGCGGUGAAGCUGUCGUGCAGCGGCGCGAGCCCGUGCCAUGGACUGGAGCUCAGGGACAUCGACCUGACGUACGUCAAGCGCGGCGUCGCCACAGAGUCGCGGUGCGAAAACGUCGCCAGUGGUAUCGCCGGCGGCAUGCUCGUACCUCCCUCAUGUAUAUGA
rnacentral:rRNA from 1 species